rnacentral:rRNA from 1 species
AUCCGGAUCGAGGACAGUGUAUGGUGGGCAGUUUGACUGGGGCGGUCUCCUCCUAAAGAGUAACGGAGGAGUACGAAGGUGCGCUCAGACCGGUCGGAAAUCGGUCGCAGAGUAUAAAGGCAAAAGCGCGCUUGACUGCGAGACAGACACGUCGAGCAGGUACGAAAGUAGGUCUUAGUGAUCCGGUGGUUCUGUAUGGAAGGGCCAUCGCUCAACGGAUAAAAGGUACUCCGGGGAUAACAGGCUGAUACCGCCCAAGAGUUCAUAUCGACGGCGGUGUUUGGCACCUCGAUGUCGGCUCAUCACAUCCUGGGGCUGAAGCCGGUCCCAAGGGUAUGGCUGUUCGCCAUUUAAAGUGGUACGCGAGCUGGGUUUAGAACGUCGUGAGACAGUUCGGUCCCUAUCUGCCGUGGACGUUUGAGAUUUGAGAGGGGCUGCUCCUAGUACGAGAGGACCGGAGUGGACGAACCUCUGGUGUUCCGGUUGUCACGCCAGUGGCAUUGCCGGGUAGCUAUGUUCGGAAAAGAUAACCGCUGAAAGCAUCUAAGCGGGAAACUUGCCUCAAGAUGAGAUCUCACUGGGAACUUGAUUCCCCUGAAGGGCCGUCGAAGACUACGACGUUGAUAGGCUGGGUGUGUAAGCGUUGUGAGGCGUUGAGCUAACCAGUACUAAUUGCCCGUGAGGCUUGACCAU